rnacentral:tRNA from 1 species
UCGUUCGUAAUGAGCAAUGGAUAGCGCGUUGGAUUUCUAAUCCAAAGGUCAUGGGUUCGAAUCCCACUUGGGAUGAA